rnacentral:lncRNA from 1 species
UUCAAUCAAUUCUAACAGAGGGCUCCAUCACCUAAAAAUCUUAACAAACCAGUGGCCACACAGUUGCACACAUGACACAACAUACAUUACCAGAUAAUUAUUUAUUAUUAAAAUAUGCAAAUUUCUCUCUCUAAGAAGAAAACAAUAGCUACUAGUUCUUUUCAUCUUCAUCUUUAAAUCUCUGUAUCCCUUAAUUGAAAUCCUCCACCACAACCGCACACACACGCGCUAUGGCGUCUCUUCUCACCAACUGGAUUUCGCCCUUCUCCUCACAAACCGUCUCCGAAUUCUCCAAAGCGUCUCUAUUAUACUUCCACCCCUCUCUCAAUUCCACCGUCUGCAGAAAACCCUAAUUCCAGAACCUCCCUCAAAAUCAGGGCCGUCAUCUUGCAAAAAAUCAGCCCUAUUCUCCCAAUUUCCUUCUUUUCGCCCCAAGCAAUCUCGCCCCAUUUGAAAUGAAAUUCAGGCCGGGAGAGAAAGAGAAUUUCGACUCUGCUGGAGAUUAAAUGGCAGGGGGAAAGUGUGAACGCAAAAUAGGGAAAAUUGACUGUAGCACGGUCGAAAUGAAGGUAGGGAAGUCGGAGGAGGUGAUGAUGAUGAUUUGCAGGUAGUUGGUCGGCCAAGGGAAGAAGAUACAAUAACAUUCCUCUUUUUUUUUUUUUCCUUCUUUUAAUGAUUAAUUUAUAUUUAAUAUAUAUAAUUUUAGUGAAUGGACAAUUUUACCCUUGAAAAUCACACGUGCAUCGCACAUGAUAUAACAUUCCGUCCAAAAUUGCCGGAAAAUUGAGUUUAGGGGGCACCGUGCAAUGAAUUAACGAGUUUAGGUAAAUCUGUGCAAAUUUUUUUUGUUUAGGGGGCAAAGUGCAAAACGACCAUUAGUUUAGGAGGCAAACUGCUUUUUACUCUAUUUUAUAUUUGCAGUCUUGAAUUUAUUAUAACACAGAUAAAAGUGUUAUAUGAUAUUAGCACUUUUGUUAUUUAGUUUAGCUAAUAGCGCUUUUACAUUUUACACGUGUAAAAUCGGG